AUACCUUUCUCGGCCUUUUGGCUAAGAUCAAGUGUAGUAUCUGUUCUUAUCAGUUUAAUAUCUGAUAUGUGGACCAAUGGUCCACACGAUAUUAAAUUAAUUUUUUGAGGGGGAGAUUCCAUUACGGUAGCUUGCUGCUGGGGCUCUCGAGUGUCGCCUUGGCGUUGCACUACUGCCUGGGCCGGGCACACCCCAC
rnacentral:snRNA from 1 species